rfam:Acyrthosiphon pisum strain LSR1 Contig32197, whole genome shotgun sequence.
CUGUGUUCUGUGACUGAUUCGGCUGGCGCCGGACUGGCGGGAGCCCGACGGUCUGUCACGGACCACGAGA